rnacentral:tRNA from 1 species
GCCCAGCUGGCUCAGUUGGUAGAGCAUGCGACCUUUAAUCUUAGGGUCUUGAGUUCAAGCCCCACAUUGGGUG